GAUGGGCUGGUUUAAAGAGUCAGUAGAAGAUUCAAGGGAAAUUUCACCACUGCUCUAUUUCACUAUAUAUGCCCAUUGAUAUGUUUUUAAAAUAUUAGAUGUGCCAUAAAAAUUUUGAAUUUCCUCACUACACAAAAAUAGGAGCAUUUCUGCAUCUCACCGGUAGAAACGGUCCAGCUACAUUUCCUGGUUGUAAGCCAACCACAAUAUCCAGAAUUCCUAGCGAUUUCAGGACGUGGGGGACCGCCCCGUGGAGGAGUAGGGUAUCCAAUUAAUGGGUGAAAAAUCUAAAUGUCUGGUUUUGUAGCCAGCACUUUCAGCCAGAGGUUUUUUAAGCGGAACUAAAGUCUCAACUGAUGGGGUUGCCAUGUCGUCAAAAAUUGAAAAGUGAUGCUAUUCCAGUGAAUUUCCCCUUCACUUCAAAGAGGGGGGCAUCUGAUCAGCCAACAUCAGUGCAGCAGAAAAGAAGGCAAGCUGAGGUAACGUAGGUAACCUUAUCUAGCUAACUAGUUAACUACCAUCGAACUACAUUUGUUUAUCUAAACCAAAAUCUAGCUAGGUAGCUUUUAUAAGCGCUGGCUAGACAUUCCAAAGCAUAAUGAUGUAACUAGCCAGCUGCUAUCUGGCGAUGUUAUUUGAAACUUUGCAAGCUAACAUUAGCUUCGUUAGGUUACGUUAGCUGGCUAGCUAGCUAACUACCGCAGAGGCUAACGUGACUAGCAUUAUGGGUUUUAUUUAGAGUCCGAUCUCAUCAACAUCUGCAGCGGCAUCGACAUCAAGCUCAGUGGGGUUGGGAUAUGCAAACAAGACAAAAAUAAGCCCCCCUUACUAUUAUUAUUAUUAUUGACAUUACGGGGGCGGGGGGGGCUGUGGACCCGUUGGAUUAAAGCUUUCAGUCUGGAAUAAGCUCAAGUUCAACAUCAUCUGACUUUGAAACAAGCCAGGACAGCCAAAGGGGACUUAGAGUACAUACAAAGCUUCUGCAAGAGGUCGAAGCAGUGGGUGGUGAAGAACAUUGCCACCGCGCCAAAGCCUGCUAAACCAAAUGUCAUUACCCAACACAAGAAGAGGUUCACCAGCUGAAGAACAUUCAGGACCCUGACUGGAACAUUCAGGCAACACAACGUACAUAUUCAGUGAGACUGAUGUUGUAGUAUAACACAGAAUGCCCAGUAUGCUCACAACUGCAUUGUGGUAUAGAUAUUUCUAGCUCUUGUACAUAUGUAUAUAAUGGUGUUAUAUAAUAUUUUUGAAUGUAUUAGAUUCAGUGAGUAAACAAUUCCAGGUGCAUCAGAAACCAAUAAAGUGUUGACUUCAA